GUGGAACUGUGACUGAUUUACACUUGUGAGAAUAACAGUUGCAGCAACGCUUUCCACAGUAUGUGCCUAGUGGACGGGUUGCAUUCUAUCACAAUGAAAAGGCAUUGAAAAUUGUUUGGUUGCUGUGGCAUUUCCUGCUGCUGGAAUUGGGCUACCUAUCUGCUCGAAUGAUCAAUCCUGCAAACAAUUUCAACUAGGUACUGUAGUACAACCUGUGAUGAGAGGGGACCCACAUGAAAGUUGGAGGGGCAAUAUAGAUUGGAUGUAAUGUGGAUGUCUUCUGGGAUUUGGAUGCAUCUGCAAUUUUUACCAAGCUGUUAAAGGCACAAAUACAUUGUCCAAUAAAUUAUUGGGGCUACUUUCACCGGAAAAGGUUGAAUAGCGUUAAGGUUUGAUAAGUUGAUGACAAAGAGCUUUUUUGCUUUUCAUUUUUGUGUCAAUUUACAGGUGACUCUUUCAGUUAUUUGAUUCAGGGUACAGUCUCUCCAUACAUUGUAAAUCGGAUUGGCUUCCAAUAUUUCUCAUUGCUUGUGCAUGCCCCUCAUUUUUAUUAGCUGAUUUGCAGAUUUGUGUUAUGUUAUUAUAUUUUUCCUCCUUCCAAACACUCGAAAUAAAAGUUUCCCAAGGAAUUGUUCAAAUUUAUCUUAACAUUUUGAGAUGUGAGAUUAUCUGCAAUUAGUUUAUGAAAAAAUAUUAGCGGAAACUGAUCUUCAAUGCUGUUGAAAGGCUAAACUAGCACUAGGCGUCUUUUUCACUUCAUAUCAUACCACGUUUACCAUUGGGUUUCUCUUUCUUUUUCCUUGGCAACUUGGUUGUUUAAUUUAUGGUUGUUCGCUUGUGUUGCAGGUCAUUCAAUGUUCAGUUUGGUCAUUGUCCGUACUGUUCAGAGCCAGUUGCAGUCAAAAUCAAUACCACAAAGAAUUAGAGAUUUUAUUAGUUCUUACCAAAGAUCCCAAGCUGAUUUAUCCUUCUCAGAGAUCCUCUCAUUGAGGGGAAGAUUAAAAUUAUAGGAGCCUGUGAAUUUCGUAAUGGCCAAAGCAGCUAAACUUCUGAGGUGAGGCACCAUAAACUCUAAAAGAUUAAAGCUUCUUUUGUCCACGCAGCUACUGAAAAUCCAUUCCAUUUUGCUGUAAUGAAGAGCAUUAAAACAGGACUAACAGUUUCAGAGAAUCCAAUGUAGGUUUGUGCCCACUUGUACUCAACUGUUUCAUUUACUGUGACUGGUGACCAACAAUGACUUGUGGCUUUCUCUUUAUUAUUAUUAUUUUUUUGGAGAACAAUUUCCAUCUCUGCACUUGAUUUUUUUUUGAAGUCAUGUUAGAAUCUGAUUGAACGGGAAUGGAGUUGCAGAUGAUAUUGCUGCUUUGCUGCUGCUUCACAGUUCACUGGAUGGUUUCUGCUUUCUAGUACUAAUGGGGUCGUGCCAUGAUUUAUUUGGGGCCCUGGACAGUAAAUCGUAGUAAAUACACCUAUAAAAUAAAGGUAGUUGGCUGGCUCUCCCCAAGUUGUAUAUGUAUUUGAAUAUAUCAUAUGUUAGCAGCUACCAUGAAAUUACAAAUUUACAACUC